AACGAACGCUGGCGGCAUGCCUAACACAUGCAAGUCGAACGAGACCUUCGGGUCUAGUGGCGCACGGGUGCGUAACGCGUGGGAACCUGCCCUUAGGUUCGGAAUAACUCCCCGAAAGGGGUGCUAAUACCGGAUAAUGUCUUCGGACCAAAGAUUUAUCGCCUUUGGAUGGGCCCGCGUUGGAUUAGCUAGUUGGUAGGGUAAAAGCCUACCAAGGCGACGAUCCAUAGCUGGUCUGAGAGGAUGAUCAGCCACACUGGGACUGAGACACGGCCCAGACUCCUCCGGGAGGGAGAAGUGGGGGAUAUUGUACAAUGGGCGAAAGCCCGAUCCACCAAUGCCCCGUGAGUGAUGAAAGCCUUUGGGGUUUAAAACUCUUUUUCCCCGGAGGUUAAUGAGAGUACCGGGGGAAUAAACUCCCGCUAACUCCCCG
rnacentral:rRNA from 1 species